AUUGAACGCUGGCGGCGUGCUUAACACAUGCAAGUCGAUCGGUAACAGGUGUAGCAAUACAUGCUGACGAGAGGCGGACGGGUGAGUAAUGCUUGGGAAUCUGCCUAUUAGUGGGGGACAACCCGGGGAAACUCGGGCUAAUACCGCAUACGCUCUACGGAGGAAAGCCGGGGACCGCAAGGCCUGGCGCUAAUAGAUGAGCCCAAGUCGGAUUAGCUAGUUGGUAGGGUAACGGCCUACCAAGGCGACAAUCCGUAGCUGGUCUGAGAGACGACCAGCCACACCGGAACUGAGACACGGUCCGGACUCCUACGGGAGGCAGCAGUGGGGAAUAUUGGACAAGUGGGGGCAACCCUGAUCCAGCGACGCCGCGUGGGUGAAGAAGGCCU
rnacentral:rRNA from 1 species